UACGGAGGGCGCAAGCGUUGUUCGGAAUCACUGGGCGUAAAGCGCGUGUAGGCGGCUUGGCAAGUCGGUUGUGAAAUCCCGGGGCCCAACCCCGGAACUGCAAUCGAAACUGCCUCGCUAGAGUCCCGGAGAGGAAGGCGGAAUUCCCGGUGUAGAGGUGAAAUUCGUAGAUAUCGGGAGGAACACCAGUGGCGAAGGCGGCCUUCUGGACGGUGACUGACGCUCAGACGCGAAAGCGUGGGGAGCAAACAGG
rnacentral:rRNA from 1 species